rnacentral:misc_RNA from 1 species
UUGAUUAUUGUGGGUUUGACGUUUACUGCAUAGUACAAAGGUUUUGGAUGGGGUCCCCGUUGGCAGGCGGACCUGCCGGGGAAACAUACGGUGCGCCAAAGACAGAGGGUGGGGUCCUUGCAUCCCGUACUGAGCAGGAGCGUCGGGUCUCAUAAUGAUCCUUCCGCAGGUUCACCUACGGAAA